UUUAUAAUGCGACUAUUUGUUCAAAAAUAGCGGUGGCAAGUCCGCAUUGACGCAGAGCCUUUU
rnacentral:ribozyme from 2 species